CAUUUUAGGAUCUGUCACACAUGUAUAUAAGCUGAAACGGAACCAGCUUGUCCAUCAGUGUCUUUAGACGUCCUACCAGAGAGGUCGAAGGGACAAAGAAGUAUCAUUCUUCAACUACUGCUACUCUAGCCCCGAGAAGUUCAUUGCAACGAAAAUGAAAGCUACUGCCUUCCUGCUGGCACUGGUGUGCUGUGUGGCUCUCUGCCAGGCCCAAAGGAAAGACCCUCUCGUUGACUUCCUCGAACGACUGGGCUCUGGAAAUCGAAACGUGCUGACAGAGCUGGAUGUCCUCUUCCAGCCCAACACUGUGGGCAACGUAGUCAGCUGCGUCAUCGACAUCAGAUCUGGAAGCAACUGCGACCCCAGAGCUAGUGCUAUCAGGAACGUCCUCCCCCAUGUGUACCGCCUCGGACUGAGGUGCCAAGAAUGCAACCAGCAGACCCAGGUCGCCAUCGAGAAGUUCGUCCGGGGCGUCAGGUCCGAUCCCCAGCAGUGCCUCAGACUCGAGCAAGCCUUUAGCCUCCCUAAACUUUGCGGAGUUUGAGGACUGAAGGAGACACGAGCCCAAAGACCAACUCGCUUUUGAUUUAACUCUUAUUUUGGCAUCGUUGUGGAUGAGCCUCAGUGUUCAGCCGCCAUUUCUCUCUCCCACCUGUCUUUAUCGAAUGUUCAUAAGUGGAUUAAUGUUUUUUCUUUCAUUUAUCAAUUUCAGAAUUAUGGUACUACAAGUCCCUAGGAGCUCUUUUGUCUAUAUAUUUUUUUUCAUUAUUUCAGAAAGUCCCAUACCAGCCACGGGGUCAUAAUUCAAAUUUCUUUUCAUUCCUAUAAUAGUAUAUAUCAUAAUUAUCAUAUUAUUGUGAAACUGUAAUAUUGUAAACAGAAAAUAAACAUGAGUAUUUUAUUCA